GCGGUGGUUCAGUGGUAGAAUUCUCACCUUCCACGUGGGAGACCCAGGUUCUAUUCCUGGCCAAUGCA
rnacentral:tRNA from 1 species